rnacentral:rRNA from 1 species
UACAGAGGGUGCGAGCGUUAAUCGGAAUUACUGGGCGUAAAGCGUGCGUAGACGGUCAAGUAAGUCGGGUGUGAAAGCCCCGGGCUUAACCUGGGAAUGGCAUUGGAAACUGGCUCGCUGGAGUGUGGCAGAGGGGGUGGAAUUCCGCGUGUAGCAGUGAAAUGCGUAGAGAUGCGGAGGAACACCGAUGGCGAAGGCAGCCCCCUGGGCUAACACUGACGCUCAGGCACGAAAGCGUGGGGAGCAAACAGG